GAUGAACGCUGGCGGCGUGCCUAAUACAUGCAAGUCGAGCGAACAGAUGAGGAGCUUGCUCCUCUGACGUUAUCGGCGGACGGGUGAGUAACACGUGGAUAACCUACCUAUAAGACUGGGAUAACUUCGGGAAACCGGAGCUAAUACCGGAUAAUAUAUUGAACCUCAUGGUUCAAUAGUUAAAGACGCUUUUGCUGUCACUUAUAGAUGGAUCCGCGCCGCAUCAGCUAGUUGGUAAGGUAACGGCUUACCAAGGCAACGAGGCGUAGCCGACCUGAGAGGGUGGUCGGCCAGCUGGGAAGAGAGGCACGGUCGCGACACCGAGAGUGGGACACGGUCGAGAAUCCUACGGGAGGCAGCAGAGGGGAACAGUGCAACGUGGGCGAAGUGAUGAUGGAGUUCGGAUCGGAGAACUCUGAAAGUAGGGGAGUUGAAAUGUGUUAGUAACUGUGAACAUAAUGACAGUACCGGGUGAAAAAGCCACGGCUAACUACGUG
rnacentral:rRNA from 1 species